AAGAAAGAGGGAGGAGUGCUUAACACAUGCAAGUCGAACGGAAAGGCCCUGCUUUUGUGGGGUGCUCGAGUGGCGAACGGGUGAGUAACACGUGAGUAACCUGCCCUUGACUUUGGGAUAACUUCAGGAAACUGGGGCUAAUACCGGAUAGGAGCUCCUGCUGCAUGGUGGGGGUUGGAAAGUUUCGGCGGUUGGGGAUGGACUCGCGGCUUAUCAGCUUGUUGGUGGGGUAGUGGCUUACCAAGGCUUUGACGGGUAGCCGGCCUGAGAGGGUGACCGGCCACAUUGGGACUGAGAUACGGCCCAGACUCCUACGGGAGGCAGCAGUGGGGAAUAUUGCACAAUGGGCGGAAGCCUGAUGCAGCAACGCCGCGUGCGGGAUGACGGCCUUCGGGUUGUAAACCGCUUUCGCCUGUGACGAAGCGUGAGUGACGGUAAUGGGUAAAGAAGCACCGGCUAACUACGUG
rnacentral:rRNA from 1 species